AACGAACGCUGGCGGCAUGCCUAACACAUGCAAGUCGAACGAGACCUUCGGGUCUAGUGGCGCACGGGUGCGUAACGCGUGGGAACCUGCCCUUAGGUUCGGAAUAACUCCCCGAAAGGGGUGCUAAUACCGGAUAAUGUCUUCGGCCCAAAGAUUUAUCGCCUUUGGAUGGGCCCGCGUUGGAUUAGCUAGUUGGUAGGGUAAAAGCCUACCAAGGCGACGAUCCAUAGCUGGUCUGAGAGGAUGAGCAGCCACACUGGGACUGAGACACGGCCCAGACUCCUACGGGAGGCAGCAGUGGGGAAUAGUGGACAAUGGGCGAAAGCCUGAUCCAGCAAGGCCGCGUGAGUGAUGAAGGCCUGAGGGUUGUAAAGCUCUUGUACCCGGGAUGAUAAUGACAGUACCGGGAGAAUAAGCUCCGGCUAACUCCGUG
rnacentral:rRNA from 1 species